UACGGAGGUGGCAAGCGUUGCUCGGAAUCACUGGGCGUAAAGGGCGCGUAGGCGGGGAGGUAAGUCGGGUGUGAAAUCCCUCGGCCCAACCGAGGAACUGCGCCCGAGACUGCUUCUCUUGAGUCCCGGAGAGGAAGGUGGAAUUCCCGGUGUAGCGGUGAAAUGCGCAGAUAUCGGGAGGAACACCGGUGGCGAAGGCGGUUCUCUGGGCCUUACCU
rnacentral:rRNA from 1 species